rnacentral:rRNA from 1 species
UACGAAGGGUGCAAGCGUUACUCGGAAUUACUGGGCGUAAAGCGUGCGUAGGUGGUUCGUUAAGUCUGUCGUGAAAGCCCCGGGCUCAACCUGGGAAUGGCGAUGGAUACUGGCGGGCUAGAGUGCGGUAGAGGGUGGUGGAAUUCCCGGUGUAGCAGUGAAAUGCGUAGAUAUCGGGAGGAACACCAAUGGCGAAGGCAGCUCGCUGGGACGUUACUGACGCUGAGACGCGAAAGCGUGGGGAGCAAACAGG